AGACUGUGUCUAUUCUAGGAAGGCUGACACAUGAUGAGAAGAGUCAGUGGUCCUGAGGUACAGUACUUAAGAUAACCCUGUGAAGGCUGAGAUUGAUAUUUGAAAUUCACAACUGAUCUUGGAGCCUGGUACAGCAGUCAUGGAUUUGUUCAUGUGUGGAUGUGAUGGAACUGAAGUCGCUAGGUUCAUGCUACCUGGAACAUGAGACUGACAAAUAGAGGAGCACUGAGUCAAAUGAAUCUCGGAGAAAUGGAGCUGGAAGAAAACUGGAGUAAGCCUGUCCCUGAAAGGGCACUACAUUUGGAUAUCCAGCAGUGGGACUCAAUAUUUUUUCUUGUUGUUUAAUCUCAUUUCUGUUACUUGCAGCCAAAGGCUCUUAAUGAGAAAAUGGCUCUACCUAGUUUUCUGAAAUUGCCUCAGUCUCUCCACUCUUCCCUAUUACAAAGGUCAUCUCUUUAAUUCACAUCCAAUAACUGAUAGUCUCUUGACUAAUCUACAUCCUCUCAUUCUCUCCUAAUUCACCUUUCAUACUGUUGCCAGGUGACUUUUCCUAAAAGACAACUUUCAUGAUGUCACUCUACUUCAUAAAUUCUUAUAAUGGUUUCUUUUUGCUUUUAGUCCAAACUCCUCAGGUUCGUUUUCAAGGCUUUUCAUAAUUGAAUUUCUUUUAUAUACCUAAGAUGAUUUCUCUGUGUUCCCAAAUGUACAAUUGACAGUCCUUCCUCCUGAUGUUCUCUCCAGUAGGAAAUGUUUGCUCUAUGUAAAUUCAGUAUAGCUUUUAGUCUCUAUUCAAGUUCUACCUUCUUCAUAAACUUCUCCUGAAUAGAAUCAGCCUAUAACCAUUUAAACUGUCUUUAUUAGGUGCACACUAUGUGCCAGGUACUCAACAAGGCAGUGGAACUAUGAAGACAGAUAAUCACAGUCCCUCUUGCCUCUGGGAGCAGGCAGUUGAAUGCAAUGCUUUUUAAAGUUUUAAGUAACGUGGUCAUGCAAAAUCUUAUAGAUAUACAUUUGAAUGUACAGAGUUUAAUUACCAAGCUAGUGAGACUUAAUGUUUCAAUUAAUAAAAAGUUUGGAAUCAAGGUAUAUAGAUAA
rnacentral:lncRNA from 1 species